UAACACCGUGAGGAACCUGCCGUUACACAGGGGAAUAACACCGUGAAAAACGGUGCUAAUACCGCAGUAACACCGCACUAUGGCAUCAGUAGAACGGUCAAAGGAGAAAUCCCGGUGUAAGAUGGCCUCGGCGCCCGAUUAGUUAGUUGGUGGGGUAAUGGCCUACCAAGACUGCGAUCGGUAGCCGGACUGAGAGGUCGAACGGCCACAUUGGAACUGAGAGACGGUCCAGACUCCUACGGGAGGCAGCAGUGGGGAAUAUUGGGCAAUGGGGGAAACCCUGACCCAGCAACGCCGCGUGAAGGAAGAAGGCCUUCGGGGUUGUAAACUUCUUUGAUCAGGGAAGAAACAAAUGACGGUACCUGAAAAACAAGCCACGGCUAACUACGUGCCAGCAGCUGC
rnacentral:rRNA from 1 species